rnacentral:rRNA from 1 species
UACGGGGGGGGCAAGCGUUGUUCGGAAUUACUGGGCGUAAAGGGCUCGUAGGUGGCCAACUAAGUCAGACGUGAAAUCCCUCAGCUUAACUGGGGAACUGCGUCUGAUACUGGAUGGCUUGAGUGUGGGAGAGGGAUGCGGAAUUCCAGGUGUAGCGGUGAAAUGCGUAGAUAUCAGAAGGAACAUCAGUGGCGAAAGCGGCUUCCUGGUCCAGCACCGACGUUCAGGCACGAAAGCGUGGGGAGCAAACAGG